AGCCACAAAAACAAAUCGCAAUACUCAAAAUAAAACACAACAAAACAAAAACCCAGCAUAUCCGAAAAGGAACAGAAUGAAGCAUGAGCUUAUUUCCUCCUACCUGUUACGCACCCGUCUAGGGGGAAGGUGCGUAGCAUAAUGUUUGUUUUAGAAAUAAAAAAAAAUAAGGUGGAAUAUUUUCCCAGUCUCCAAAAAAACAAUGAACAGUUUGUAGAAAAAUUACAAAAGGGUUUGUAAUUUGUAAACACUAUUUACAAAAAUAAAAAGAGGCCACCACAUGGGCUAUUCAUUCAAGCAAAAAAAAAAAACAAACAAACAAAACAAUUGGAUACAAACUAAAGAGGCAUUAUAGCACUCAAACAAAAGAUCCUACCCAACAAAACCACAGCUUCUACAAAAAUGAACCUAAGUCUAACAAACAAAAAAACACUAUCUUAAUCUAAUCAGAAAACACGGGUAUCGAGUCACAAAGUUUGGAGUCUGGGAAAAACCACAGGGUGCUGCUGUCAAAACCCCCUUUUCGACCGGGGUGGAGCCCGUUCGAAGUUGGAGCCGGCGCCCGACUUGGCGCCGGUUUUUUGUGUUUCGACCACCGGAGCUGCGGCUCCGGGCUCCAAAAACUGGGGCCGUUUCGGGCACCAACUCGUUGCUGAUCCAGAGGUGGCCAGAGUUGAGAGCCGAGCACGUCACGGGCAGGGGGCGGGGUUACGGUGACCGACGAACAACAGCGGAAACACAGAACCGCCAUUUUUUAAAAAACAACAGCGGUGAAGCGGCUCUUGUUUGAGAAGACAACGUUUUGGAAACGGAAAAUGGAAAUCAAGAGCAAGCAGUGGACGGAGGAGGAGACCCAGUGCUUCCUGGCACUAUGGUCAUCAGCUGAGGUUCAGGGAAAGCUGGAUGGAGCCACAAGGACGAAGCCCAUCUUCCAGGGAAUCCAGCGGGAGAUGGAGGCACAGGGCUACCAGCGGACCCUUGACCAGCUGCUAAACAAACUAAAAAAGUUAAAAAAAAGAGUACAGAGAUCAGAGGAAGGAGCUGGGACGAAGCGGCAGCGGAAGGCAAAAGAGAUGUCCGCAUUUUGAGUUACUGGACUCUGUGCUUGGAGACCGACCCGCUAACCAAGCCACAGGGGCCCUCAACUCAUCCACAGCCGCGCUGGACUGGCCGCAGGACUUGCCGACACCCGCUCCUGAAACUGAAUUGUCGCUCUUGGAUGAGGAGGGCCAGAUGACAAGGUGCAGCUCACCAGUACCAUCCUGCAGCUCAUCAGUCCCAUCCCCCAGCUCCUCAGCGUCCACCCAGUCCAGAACCGGAAAAAGAAAGCGGAGUCCCUAUGCAGAACUCAUUGAAUAUAUGGACCGCGCUGAUCAAAAGUAUUUCGAGCAAGCGGAUCGGGACAAUGCCGUGAGCACUGCUGUGCUAGAUAAUAUGAGAGACACGAAGGGGCUGAUGGAGAGGAUGGUGGCAGCAGUGGAGCGAAUGGCAAACAAAUGAGCACAUGGACAUUUUUUUGUUGUUUUUUUUUGUAAAUACUUUUGGAUUUGUUUUUGUGUGGUGUUUUUUAAAUUGUUAUUUAUAAGUGUGUGCAUAAAGACUUUGUUGAGAGA